AGUGAACGCUGGCGGUAGGCCUAACACAUGCAAGUCGAACGGCAGCACAGUAAGAGCUUGCUCUUACGGGUGGCGAGUGGCGGACGGGUGAGGAAUACAUCGGAAUCUACUUUUUCGUGGGGGAUAACGUAGGGAAACUUACGCUAAUACCGCAUACGACCUACGGGUGAAAGCAGGGGAUCUUCGGACCUUGCGCGAUUGAAUGAGCCGAUGUCGGAUUAGCUAGUUGGCGGGGUAAAGGCCCACCAAGGCGACGAUCCGUAGCUGGUCUGAGAGGAUGAGCAGCCAAACUGGAACUGAGACACGGUCCAGACUCCUACGGGAGGCAGCAGUGGGGAAUAUUGGACAAUGGGCGCAAGCCUGAUCCAGCCAUACCGCGUGGGUGAAGAAGGCCUUCGGGUUGUAAAGCCCUUUUGUUGGGAAAGAAAAGCAGCAGGUUAAUACCCCGCUGUUCUGACGGUACCCAAAGAAUAAGCACCGGCUAACUUCGUG
rnacentral:rRNA from 1 species